AAUAUCAGUAUCGAAGUCAUAAUGAUUGUAGCAAAAUUAAAUAUCGGUUAACUUUGUAUUGAUAUAUCAUUCUUACGCUAUUUGCGGUUUCACUAACCUAGAUAACGACCGACUGGUUUAUAGGUUUAAACUUGACAAUAUGUACUAGAUUAUAUACAACGGUUCAAAUUUCACAUAGCACGAUUAUAAAUCGCGUACCCGGUGCACGUUGCCUUAAGAUCAAGCGUAUAUGUCUCACUUCUCGUUGAACCCCCAAGUUUGUUAACUCAAACGACUUUCAUAGGAUUUUAACCGUCUGAUUGCAGUUGUUUAAACAACAAGCUUUGAUCGAUUGACAUCAAUUGGAAAUGGCCUUCCCAGUUCGCGUGGAGAGCCCCGGGUUCGUUACAGCCCAGAAUACCUGGAGGCGGACUACACGUACACAAACACAGCCGUCCGCAGGGACGCCAAGGGCGCCUACAUAGCUACGCCCGUCAACACCAAGUACACGUUCAGAACGCAGCGAAAGGUACCCAAGCUAGGUGUGAUGCUGUUAGGGCUGGGCGGAAACAACGGCAGCACUGUCACCGCCGCUAUCCUCGCCAACAAGCACCGCCUGUCCUGGCACACCAAGGAAGGACUCCAACACGCAAACUAUCUUGUUUCAAGGAAGUCCCUUCUUACCGAAAAUCAAUAUAAGGCGGAAAGAGUCGUCCUGAAUUAGCUGCUGGAAUACAAGCACGCGCGCAUCGAGAAUCCCGUGCCAGAAAAACGCUCGGAGGCGGCGGCAGAGAAAGUGAAGCCGGCGAUAAACGGAGUCAUCGACACGAAAGGGGCCACCGGGGUCCAAGGACAUAGUAGACGAUCUUCUGACGAAGCAGAAUUUUAAAACACAUAACUCGUACAUGAGUUAGGGUUUCCACUUUUAUAAAUCUGACCCCAUACCUCUAUCAUUGCAGAUACCUGCGCAUUUCACUGAUCGUUGUUGAAAACCUAACAUUUAAGUCGCAAAUAUUGUUUGUGUUUAUCAAUACCAUAAAGUUCAAAAUGCUAUUUAGAUGUUCGUUAACUUGAAUGCGUUUAAUGUAUUUAUUAUGCUGUAUGUAACAUGUGUCGUAUUAUAAAUGCCCAACGCAGUCAUUUGCAAUACCUUAGCAAUAAAACCUUUAAACAAUUA